GUCUCAGUAGCGCAAUGGAUACCGCGUUGGACUUCUAAUCCAAAGGUCGUGGGUUCAACUCCACCUGAGAUG